UCAGGUUAGCUGCACCAUAAAUUUGCGUAAUUCUGAAAGUAAUGUGAGAAAGGUGGGUAACAGUAUACACCUACGACGUUUCCGGCUGUGAACAGCACAUCUUCAUUAAUAAACGCGAGUCAUAUACAUUCAAGGCAUUCUUACGUACUAUAGAUCAAUAAUAUUAGAAGGGAAUGUAAGUUAAAUUCAAGAGAAAAUAAAAUAUACAAUGUUAAUGGAGGUAGUGAAAUGCGCAGUACCAGACAUAAUUCGAAGGUCGUCCUAGCAGUUACGUUCUUUUCCUGCAAACAUAUCGCUUUAGAGUGAGACGAGCAGGAUUCCCACUUGCCAAAGAACCCAUCUCCUUCUGCAAUUCCGUGGUGCGUUUCAUUUCGGCAUGCCACUUCGGAACCCAGCCCAAUUUUAACAGCUGAUGAUGAAAAUAAAACUUAAAUUCCCCGCAUAAGAAUGGAGAUGACCCAACCCUAGCAAUGACCUGAAGCUCACGUCAUUUAUGAAUCAGCCAGGCGCGUGUUCCUGGAAAGUAAGUUGGUCUAUCUCUUAUGCAACUCCCUCUUUAACUAGGCGUAACACAUUUAUUUGCGUAGCGUCUUCUUUUUAAAACGAACAAUUUGCUGACUGAGAUAGUUCGUGUCCGUUGUACAUAGAUGGCGUCACACACGCGAACUAGAUACAUUGUACAUUUCUGGCACGUACUGAAUUCUGAACAGGUACACGACAAACCAAUUCGCUGUUGCUCUAUUCUACGUCAGUUUCAUGUAAACAAGUAUUAAAAGCACCAGCCGUUGGCGUGAUACAUUUUAGGGUUCAGAAAGAUUUGACUUUGUUGACUUCAAUACUAAUAAUACCAUUGGAUUCAGAUAUACAAAACUAAUUUUACCUGUUGCUUUAAAAUGUGUGUGUACUUCGUCCCUCGCACUGAGCUAGGGGAUGGAAACAGAUACGGAGAAUGCCUGAGACCGAAGCAGAAGAGAAUAUUACGAUUCAAGAAGUAACUGGAGGCCGGAGAAAAUUACACAAAAAGGAAUCGAUUAUAACCUCUUGGGCUCAGACUCAGUGUGGACAUGUAGUGGGUUUGAUACAGGCAAACUACGCGACUCGUGAGCGACAGUUACGAGCGGCUCGUAAUCAACGGAAGUCUUGCCCAAGCCAUGCUGAAAACAUUUAUCUCAGGUUUCAGUUGUGGAUAGCAGGCCAGGUCCUUUGUGCAAGAUAUACAAAUCCAGGAUUCACAAAGCCAAUCAAACAAACACUGCAUAGGAUCUUCAAUUCUCGAGUACGCAAAGCCAUCUACAGUAGAGAAACAUAAUUAUAUAUCAUAUUUCUGAAGAAGCUUUUGAGAAUAAAAGGGAACAACGAAGGGGGGAGCUACAAGAAGCGAGAAAGGAAGUCGCGAAGAUGGAUUCGAAGGAAAGUUUCCUCAGAGACUGAAACAUUAAAUUUCUGGAGAUUUUAUUCAAUCAUGCACAACCAGACUGUCUGAGAGGAUACGGCAGGAACUACCGUGAAGUGUGCCUUCAUGAGCUGACGGAGAAGUCUGGCAACGAUCACCUCAUUCCAGCUGGCUUGUCGAUAAAGGAUUUAGUAAUAGCACAGCUGAUAAGAGCGACAUGGACCUCAGAAACUCCAAUGACCUUGUUUCAGCCUCAAGUACCCCCAUAGUUUCUGGCCUGGUGAGGAGUCAUCCGUGUCUAAGGCUCGUUUGAAUGUAAAUCACAACGUUGCUUAAAAUCUUAAUUAUUCAUUGGCAAAGCAUUACUCACAUAUACAAUUACAAGGGCAUCAGAAGCUAAAUUAGAAGUAAUUGUUUCUUUAAACCGAAGCAAAAAUUCGUAAUUUAACCAGACUCGUGAAUGUUAAAAAUAACUGAUUUAAGAGUUCCUAUUGAAACACGCGAAGCUCCUUUUUGCAACAAAACCAUACUGAAGUUUUUAAUUUGUGCGUCAAACAGUUUAUGAAGUAUUCAUGCCAAGCUAAAAUAAUGUGUUAUUUACCUUCCAUUCACCGAACUACGGAAAGUAAUUCAGGUGGUCAUCCACUCAUGCAGUCACACGCUUGCCUGCUCACUCACUUGAACAUCCACCUAAAUGAUACACUCAGUCACUCUCUCAAACAUCCACGUACUCGC